ensembl:rRNA 5S_rRNA 5S ribosomal RNA
CUCUGCAAGAGAUGUCCCUUUUCAAUUCCUGCUAAAAGAUUAAGAAUUUUACAUCUCGGAAGUUAAGCAGGGUCAGGCCUGGUUAGUACUUGGAUGGGAGACCACCUAGGAAGACCAGGUGCUGUAGGCA